GGCCGUCAGAGACGAUGACGUUGAUAGGCUGCAGGUGUAAAGUCAGCAAUGGCAUAGCUGAGCAGUACUAAUUGCCCGAAAGCUUACCUAC
rnacentral:rRNA from 1 species